CCUGCCUGUUACACACUUUUCAACGAAUCUAGUAUACCCUUAUACUCUACGAGUAACGGGUAUAAUUACGUACAGGUACCCUUGUGGGCCUUAGCGUUGGCGCCUUCUCUAUUUUCAUAGCUAUUAUUUGUCAAGGAGAAGUAAAUUGCCACGAAAGGAGUAGGUCUGGUCUUUUUUAUGUUCUUUAUUUUUGGCACUAAAAUAUUUGGAAAUUUUAAAAUUCACUCGUGUAUCAUUCGAUCCAAUCUAGGUAAAGCUUUCGCUUAUCUAAAAAAAAAACAUUUGACCCUCAUUUGCAAUCAGUCUCAAACAUUUGACCCUCAUUUGCAAUCAGACUCAUAAUAAGCAAUUAAGCAAAUUAUAAUAAGCAAUGUACAUAUGUACAGCAAAGACAUCGGCCGCCAUUUUUUUAUGAAGUUCAUAUGACGCCGAUAUACCGAUAACAUCGGAUCAGGCAGUAGUGGAUCUAAAUGCCCAGUUUUUGCAAACAACCUAUUCCACGUUAACUUUUCUGAACCACAUUUUUUUUCCCACUCUAAACGAAAGCUCACUGUUUUCCGAUACUCAGCGUGUGGAGCCUGUCCAUUUCCCAAGUCCCUAGGGAAAUUCUGGCUUUGUGCAUAGGUUCUGUGCCAUUUGUGAUCUUAUCAGUGUAGUGAUAACAAAUUAAAUGCAAUUUAUUACAGAGCACGUUUGUAGGUCAAAUAUAUCAUGUCAGCACGGUUUUAUAAAACGCAGAUCAACAAAUACUUUUGGAGCUUACUUCCAUCGGAAUAAAGGGCUUUAAAAAUAACUUUCAAGCACGGACUUUAGUCAAGAAUCUGACUUGGUUAAUCAUUCACUUCUGGAAUAAAUUGGAUUUAAAGUUAUUUGAAUCUCCUAAUCACAUCAGCCGUUCCCCAAGGGAGUCAAGUUGGUUCGCUCAUUUUUAUCUAUUUAAUAUUACCUUCCCUUAGUUUUUAAACAUUCGCGUGUACUUAUGUACGCAGAGGAUGUUAAAUUAUGUCUGCAGUAUAAGGACAUUUUUUUCCAUUCGGACUAACAAUUUGAUCUAGACAGCUUUCAAAAAUGGUGGCGGGAUAACUUAGAAAACUUAAAUGCCUCUAUGUGUAUGCUCACUUUUUAUCGUGACUUACCCGCGACGUACACUUUAAGUGGGUGCUCUUUGGACUGAAUUGCACGGGUUCUGUAUGCAAGACAAUUACGUUUCGUUAAUUAUUUAUAAAACCAGGGGUGUGCCAGAUUUAAUAAACGGUGGUUAAAGGAAUUCGAUGAUCUCCACAUGACUAAUACGUACACAUUUUGCUAGUCUAUCCGAUUCUUGAGUAUGGAACAUCAGUUUUGAGCCCAUAAUACGGAGUUCACUCGGACAGUAUUCAACCGGUUCAAAAAAACGUCUUAAUGUUGGUCUUAAAGUUUAUUAACUUACCUUCUGAAGCUAAGCUUAGAACGAUGCUUAGAACAAUUUCUAUUUGUAAUCUUAUUCGUAGUAUAUGGAUAGUUUUUUAGAUAGUCCUUCUAAUUUCUGAUUUUCUAGAAAACACAAAUAGUUUGCAUACAAAAUUUGAAGUCCGUGCGACCACGGGCGGAGGGGCCUCGUAGUGUAGUGGAUAGCGCAACUACCUGUUAAACACGAGGUCGUGGGUUCAAACCCCACCCAUGACAAGAGUAUGGCCACACAAACUUUCCUCUCAAAAAGAUACCUUUCUAGCUUUUAGAAAGUAUUCUUCCAUCCAUAAUGUGUAUAUUCAUUUAAAUGUUAGCAAUCAAAGAACUCUAUGUAAUAAGCACAAAUUGUAACAAAAUACAUUUUUU